CCUGUGAGGGUUGCUGGAGGUAUCAGAAGUGCGAAUGCUGACAUAAGUAACGAUAAAGCGGGUGAAAAGCCCGCUCGCCGGAAGACCAAGGGUUCCUGUCCAACGUUAAUCGGGGCAGGGUGAGUCGACCCCUAAGGCGAGGCCGAAAGGCGUAGUCGAUGGGAAACGGGUUAAUAUUCCCGUACUUGGUGUUACUGCGAAGGGGGGACGGAGAAGGCUAUGUUGGCCGGGCGACGGUUGUCCCGGUUUAAGCGUGUAGGUGUGUGUUCCAGGUAAAUCCGGUUCACUUUAACACUGAGGCGUGACGACGAGGCACUACGGUGCUGAAGCAACAAAUGCCCUGCUUCCAGGAAAAGCCUCUAAGCAUCAGGUAACACGAAAUCGUACCCCAAACCGACACAGGUGGUCAGGUAGAGAAUACCAAGGCGCUUGAGAGAACUCGGGUGAAGGAACUAGGCAAAAUGGUGCCGUAACUUCGGGAGAAGGCACGCUGACACGUAGGUGAAGUGAUUUACUCAUGGAGCUGAAGUCAGUCGAAGAUACCAGCUGGCUGCAACUGUUUAUUAAAAACACAGCACUGUGCAAACACGAAAGUGGACGUAUACGGUGUGACGCCUGCCCGGUGCCGGAAGGUUAAUUGAUGGGGUCAGCGCAAGCGAAGCUCCUGAUCGAAGCCCCGGUAAACGGCGGCCGUAACUAUAACGGUCCUAAGGUAGCGAAAUUCCUUGUCGGGUAAGUUCCGACCUGCACGAAUGGCGUAAUGAUGGCCAGGCUGUCUCCACCCGAGACUCAGUGAAAUUGAACUCGCUGUGAAGAUGCAGUGUACCCGCGGCAAGACGGAAAGACCCCGUGAACCUUUACUAUAGCUUGACACUGAACAUUGAGCCUUGAUGUGUAGGAUAGGUGGGAGGCUUUGAAGUGUGGACGCCAGUCUGCAUGGAGCCGACCUUGAAAUACCACCCUUUAAUGUUUGAUGUUCUAACGUGGACCCGUAAUCCGGGUUGCGGACAGUGUCUGGUGGGUAGUUUGACUGGGGCGGUCUCCUCCUAAAGAGUAACGGAGGAGCACGAAGGUUGGCUAAUCCUGGUCGGACAUCAGGAGGUUAGUGCAAUGGCAUAAGCCAGCUUGACUGCGAGCGUGACGGCGCGAGCAGGUGCGAAAGCAGGUCAUAGUGAUCCGGUGGUUCUGAAUGGAAGGGCCAUCGCUCAACGGAUAAAAGGUACUCCGGGGAUAACAGGCUGAUACCGCCCAAGAGUUCAUAUCGACGGCGGUGUUUGGCACCUCGAUGUCGGCUCAUCACAUCCUGGGGCUGAAGUAGGUCCCAAGGGUAUGGCUGUUCGCCAUUUAAAGUGGUACGCGAGCUGGGUUUAGAACGUCGUGAGACAGUUCGGUCCCUAUCUGCCGUGGGCGCUGGAGAACUGAGGGGGGCUGCUCCUAGUACGAGAGGACCGGAGUGGACGCAUCACUGGUGUUCGGGUUGUCAUGCCAAUGGCACUGCCCGGUAGCUAAAUGCGGAAGAGAUAAGUGCUGAAAGCAUCUAAGCACGAAACUUGCCCCGAGAUGAGUUCU
rnacentral:rRNA from 1 species